UUGAUCCUGGCUCAGGACGAACGCUGGCGGCGUGCCUAAGCUUAUGCAAGUCGAACGCGAACGGCUCCUUCGGGAGCCUAGUAGAGUGGCAAACGGGUGAGUAACGCGUGGGUAACGUACCCUGAUCCUGGGAAUAACCCUCGGAAACGAGGGCUAAUACCGAAUGUGGCGAACGACCGGUUGGUCGCUCGCUAAAGGUGGCCUCUUCUAUGCUGCCGGGUUGGGAUCGGCCCGCGUCCCAUUAGCUAGUUGGUGAGGUAACGGCUCACCAAGGCCACGAUGGGUAGCCGGCCUGAGAGGGUGUACGGCCACACUGGCACUGAGACAAGGGCCAGUCCCCUAUGGGAGGCGCAGGCGGGAAUAGUUCACAAUGGGCGAAAGCCUGAUGACGCGACGCCGCGUGAGCGAAGAAGACCUUCGGGUUGUAAAGCUCUGUCAGGAGGGAAGAAGGCUCUACGGGUCAAUAGCCCGUGGGAUUGACGGUACCUCCAGAGGAAGCCCCGGCUAAAUACGUGCCAGCAGCCGCGGUAAUACGUAUGGGGCAAGCGUUGUCCGGAUUUACUGGGCGUAAAGGGCGCGUAGGCGGUUUGUUAAGUCGAAGGUGAAAUCCUCGGGCUCAACUCGAGAAUUGCCUUCGAUACUGGCAAACUAGAGUGGCGGAGAGGAAAGCGGAACUCUUGGUGUACCGGUGGAAUGUGUAGAUAUCAAGAGGAACACCGGUGGCGAAAGGCCGGCUUUCUGGACGCACACUGACGCUCAGGCGCGAAAGCGUGGGUAGCAACAGGAUUAGAUACCCUGGUAGUCCAAGCCAUAAACGAUGGGUACUAGGUGUCGGGGGUAUCGACCCCUCCGGUGC
rnacentral:rRNA from 1 species